rnacentral:piRNA from 1 species
UGGUAGGUGUCUCUUUGUGGCCAUAAGGCAUU